AAAGUAUUGUCAGAAAGAGUGUGAAAAAAAGGUGUAGACCAGACCCAUGACUUGCUCCUAAACAACAGAAUAUGACAAAUGGAAUGGCACGUCACUCCCAUGAUUAUGUGAUGUUAUAUGACUGUGUCUUGCUAGCUGGCUGGCUCCACAGACGUUCUCUCUCCCUUGCUGGCUGUGAAGAAGCAAGCUGCCAGAACUCCUAAAGCCACAUGGAGCUCAUUGCUGCCAAAAGGAAUUGGGAAGCAAAUCCUUCCCUAGCUGAGCCUCCAGUUGAGAGCCAGUCCUGGCCAACACCUUGAAUGUAGCCUUGUAAGACCUUCUGAGGAGGACCAAGCUAUGCCGUAUCCAGAUGUGUGACCUGCAGAAACUCUGAGGUAAUAAUUGUGUGCUGAUUCAAGCUCCCAUGUUUGCAGUAAUUUCUUACGCAGCAUAGAAACAUAGACUACAAAUGUCUGGAAAAGAAUAGCAUGUGGCUUUUUAGCCAACCUGUGUGUGAUUUCAAGGGAGCAGGAGAUUUUAGAGGCAAUUAGUCUUAUAAAGGAUAUAUGAGUCCAUUUUGCACUGCUAUGAAGGAAUAGCAGAGACUGGGUAAUUUUACAAGGAAAAUAGGCUUAUUUGACUCAUGGUUCUGCAGGCUGCACAAGAAGCAUGGUGCCAGCAUCAGUUUUUAAUGCGGGCCUCAGGACACGUACAGUCAUAGUGGAAGGCAAGAGGAGCUGGAUGUGGCACACCUUAAGAGAGGAGGCAAGACAGAGGGUGCAAGAAGUUCCAGAAUCUUUAACUACCAGAUCUUAUGUGAACUUAUGACUGUGGGGAGGGCACCAAGCCAUUCAUGAGGGAUCUGCCCCCAUGACCUCCCACUAAGCCCCACCU
rnacentral:lncRNA from 1 species